rnacentral:lncRNA from 1 species
UUUUUUUAAUGAUCCCAAUGGAUGCUGAGGACCCGAGAUGGAAGGAGAAUCCGCGUGGGGUGUGGGAAGGAGGAUGGCAAGUGGAGGUCUUGGGGCCUGGCUUGGCCUCGCCAAGUAUGACUUUUUAUCAUGCGCUCUGGGAUUUGAAGCCCGGCCAGAGCUUUCUCCAAAUGCACACCCACCUGUCUUGGCCAACAACUUCAUUUGCCUUCUCAACACCAGUUCCUACACCCCCACCCCCACCCCCCACACCGCGCCCUUCCUGGCUCCUGGUAUAGCUGGUAAGCUCGCUGCAAGGAUCGAUCUCCUCCCAUCUGCUUCCUGGUUUGUUCUCGCGAACAUAGAGAUUUAAAGGACCCUGGAAAGCCAUUCAUCGUCCUUCGGUUUAUUUAAUAUUUCUCCGGCUCAGAAACAGACACCGCGGGGCUACCUCCCUGGCAGAUGCUGCAGUUCUUUGAAAGCAGUUUAUUUCCUGGGCCUCUUAGACUUUCCCCUGCACCAGCAGGAUGGGGACUUAGAGUAUCAGGCACCGAGAGGCAGCAACUGACAGAAUAAGCCAAGAGCCAGCAUAGGUGGUGACAUAUAGGACUAGGCAGGCCCAAGGAGUAUUUCUUUAACUGGCCCCUCAGUGCAGGAAGUACACAUAUUUUAUUCAGCUGAAAUUUAAUCCCUUAAACUGUCUUAAUAUAGAAUUCAUCUCGUGCAUUAAAUAAUCUUAUGUCAUGUUAAAUUGCAGUUAUUUCUUUCAUAAAUAAAUUAAUAUAGAACAA